GAUUAGAUUAUAAACUUAUCAAUUUAUUUCAUCAUCAAAAUCUGAGAUUUAAUAAUAUCCCCCUUUCUGAUGAUGAUAACCAAUUGAUGAUGGAGUUUAAACUAAACUCCCUCUAUCAAUAUAUCAUAAUUUCAAUCAUGAAUUAUAUGCAAUACAUCAUAUCAUUACUUACAUCAUAAGUUCAAGUAGUGUAUCCAAACCAUCAUAUAUAAUAAAAUUUCAUUAUACCAUACAUGAUUAUCAUCAUAGCUUCUCCCCCUUUGUCAUCAACAAAAAUGAGAAGUGCAGCUAGUCAGUUUUUAAGAUAUGAAAAUUAGCAAAAGUUUGCUUCUCUUGAGAUGUGCAAGAUAGCAUAUUUACUUUUCUUUGUGAUGUUCAGGCCAAUAAGUUUUUAUAAAAGAAUGUAAGAUAGUAAAUAGCAAGUUUUACAUCAUUUUAGAACUUGCAAGCUAGCAAGUUUUAGAGAUGUGCAAGUUCAGCAAUUCUUUGCUUCUUGAGAUAAGCAAGAUAGCACUUUGCUUCUCUUAAGAUUGCAAGCUAGCAAUUUUUGCUUCUUUUUGUAAGCUAGCAAGUUUUCUUUCCUUGAAAUAUAUAAGUUAGCAAGACUUUCUCCCCCUUUAUUAUCGUCAAAGAGAAGAGAAGAAUAUAGGAGUAACCACAUAUGUUAUGAGUUGACAUGGGAUCAUAUAUAUUACUAUGUAUGAGUUCCAACAACUCCGUAGCUCUCUCUCUAGUAUCACUAAAUUGAGAGUUGCUUAGUUUCCCACGAAGGUAAAACUCGCAAGUUGCAUAUGACUCGUAGUCGAAUAGAUCUAGGUAUCUAUCCUUUAGUAACUUUUGAAUCAUUUCCUCAUGGAUAUGACCUAGCUUACA
rnacentral:lncRNA from 1 species